rnacentral:rRNA from 1 species
UACGGGGGGAGCAAGCGUUGUUCGGAUUUAUUGGGCGUAAAGAGCUCGUAGGCGGCUUGUCGCGUCGUCCGUGAAAACCUGCGGCUCAACUGCAGGCUGGCGGUCGAUACGGGCAGGCUGGAGUUCGGUAGGGGAGACUGGAAUUCCUGGUGUAGCGGUGAAAUGCGUAGAUAUCUGGAGGAACACCGGUGGCGAAGGCGGCAUCCUGGACCGAUAUUGACGCUGAUGCGCGAAAGCCAGGGGAGCAAACGGG